AGACCCGAAACCCGGUGAUCUAGCCAUGGGCAGGUUGAAGGUUGGGUAACACUAACUGGAGGACCGAACCGACUAAUGUUGAAAAAUUAGCGGAUGACCUGUGGCUGGGGGUGAAAGGCCAAUCAAACCGGGAGAUAGCUGGUUCUCCCCGAAAGCUAUUUAGGUAGCGCCUCGUGAAUUCAUCUCCGGGGGUAGAGCACUGUUUCGGCUAGGGGGCCAUCCCGGCUUACCAACCCGAUGCAAACUGCGAAUACCGGAGAAUGUUAUCACGGGAGACACACGGCGGGUGCUAACGUCCGUCGUGAAGAGGGAAACAACCCAGACCGCCAGCUAAGGUCCCAAAGUCAUGGUUAAGUGGGAAACGAUGUGGGAAGGCCCAGACAGCCAGGAUGUUGGCUUAGAAGCAGCCAUCAUUUAAAGAAAGCGUAAUAGCUCACUGGUCGAGUCGGCCUGCGCGGAAGAUGUAACGGGGCUAAACCAUGCACCGAAGCUGCGGCAGCGACGCUGAUGCGUUGUUGGGUAGGGGAGCGUUCUGUAAGCCUGCGAAGGUGGCCUGUGAGGGUUGCUGGAGGUAUCAGAAGUGCGAAUGCUGACAUAAGUAACGAUAAAGCGGGUGAAAAGCCCGCUCGCCGGAAGACCAAGGGUUCCUGUCCAACGUUAAUCGGGGCAGGGUGAGUCGACCCCUAAGGCGAGGCCGAAAGGCGUAGUCGAUGGGAAACGGGUUAAUAUUCCCGUACUUGGUGUUACUGCGAAGGGGGGACGGAGAAGGCUAUGUUGGCCGGGCGACGGUUGUCCCGGUUUAAGCGUGUAGGUGUGUGUUCCAGGUAAAUCCGGUUCACUUUAACACUGAGGCGUGAUGACGAGGCACUACGGUGCUGAAGCAACAAAUGCCCUGCUUCCAGGAAAAGCCUCUAAGCAUCAGGUAACAUCAAAUCGUACCCCAAACCGACACAGGUGGUCAGGUAGAGAAUACCAAGGCGCUUGAGAGAACUCGGGUGAAGGAACUAGGCAAAAUGGUGCCGUAACUUCGGGAGAAGGCACGCUGACACGUAGGUGAAGUGAUUUACUCAUGGAGCUGAAGUCAGUCGAAGAUACCAGCUGGCUGCAACUGUUUAUUAAAAACACAGCACUGUGCAAACACGAAAGUGGACGUAUACGGUGUGACGCCUGCCCGGUGCCGGAAGGUUAAUUGAUGGGGUCAGCGCAAGCGAAGCUCCUGAUCGAAGCCCCGGUAAACGGCGGCCGUAACUAUAACGGUCCUAAGGUAGCGAAAUUCCUUGUCGGGUAAGUUCCGACCUGCACGAAUGGCGUAAUGAUGGCCAGGCUGUCUCCACCCGAGACUCAGUGAAAUUGAACUCGCUGUGAAGAUGCAGUGUACCCGCGGCAAGACGGAAAGACCCCGUGAACCUUUACUAUAGCUUGACACUGAACAUUGAGCCUUGAUGUGUAGGAUAGGUGGGAGG
rnacentral:rRNA from 3 species